rnacentral:misc_RNA from 1 species
CAGUCUUUUCUCACAAAUGUGGUGAACAAUGAGCCCAUGCAACAAAAGACGGCAACAAAGCCAGAUCAAGGAACUCCUCUUGGCUUGAUCAACAGGUCCUCGCACUCUCAUAAUUCACAUUACGCGCACGGUCCUUUGGAAAGACACCACCAAACUCCGCCAAAGGUCCACGUCCCUCAGCUGGCGGGUAGCAACAAUCAAGAGAGGCAACAACACAAAUCUAGGGCAUAUAACUACGUGGAGACAACAACACAACAACCUUAUUUUUCAUUUGUUCAAUCGAACUCCAACUCAAUCGUUCCUAAAGUGGAAAAAAGUAAUCCCGUAUCACCUGUGACAACUACAAUUUCUCCAAGAUCUAGAGAUACAACGAGCAGUUUAAGAUUUGAAGGCCAGUUGGGUGAUGAGAAUAGGAAUGAAAAUUCCCCUUUUAUAUCAUCUGUAAGGGAAUGGAUUGAAACACAAAAGAAACAAGCUAAUGCAGGUUCUGGUCAAAGACAAAGCAAUGUUUUAUUUCAGUCAGCUGGAUUUCGAUCCCUCAACACCGAGCAAACAACACAGAGAAGUAAUGUUGAUCAAGACACAACCAUGGGACCAUCUACAACUCCAACCAGUCCACAGACGGUGAUGGAGAGUCCUUGCAAACAAGGAGUAAAUUGUAAACUCCCCGAGUGCUUCUGCAAAACUACCAAAUACCCAACAUCCAUGAACCCGAAGGAUAUACCGCAAAUUGUAUACAUUACAAUUGAUGGACCUAUCAACUUCCUCACCUACUCAAAGAUGAAGACCUUGUUCAAAGAGAACAGACAAAAUCCCAAUGGAUGCCGAAUCGGGGCCACCUUCUUUGCCAAUGGAAGAGGAACCAGUUAUCGCUUGGCCAACAUAUUAAACAAUGAUGGUAUUGAAAUUGGAAUGAACGGACAACAAACGACCCCUUAUGAGUCCUCUGAGGGACUUCAAGCGGAUAUAAAUCAGCAAUCCGAUUACCUACGCACAUACGCCGGUAUAUCUGAAGAAAACAUCCAAGGAUGGAGAUCACCUCAACUUUCUGAAGAAAUGAAUUCCAACAUCAAUGUCUUACGUAAUAAAACCUUAUAUGAUUCAUCACUCGUUUUGAAAAACCAAACCGGUUUGAAUGAGGAUAAACCAUGGCCUUUCACGUUAGACUUUUUGAAUUGUGAACGAGAAAAUUGUUCUUCAAAAACAAGCGCUGGAAUUUGGGAAGUUCCUAUUAUUCCAAUGAAAGCACAGAGUGACGAGUCAUGUGCAUAUGCAGAUAAAUGCAGAGGUCCAAAGACAACACAGGAAACCGUUGAUUACUUGAUGAAAAACUUUAAUUCUUACUACGAAAGAAACAGGGCACCAUUUGGCAUUCAUAUAUCACGUGAUUGGUUUUACUGGUAUAACAACAGAAAUUUUGCAGGACUUUCAGACUUCAUAGACAAAUUAUUACAAAAGAAAGACGUUUACAUUGUACCAGUGUCCAAAUUAUUACAGUGGGUAAAAAAUCCAAUUUCCUUAUCGUCCGUUAAGUCAUUUGCAUCUUGGAGUUGUUAGAAAGUUAUUUCCUGGUGUGAAUGGGUUGUGUAUUUGAUUAUUUUAAUUUAUUAAGUUUUGCAUGCUGUUGUGAUUUUAAAAUAAAAGUUGAAAACCCUU